CGACACGGGGAGGUAGUGACGAAAAAUAACAAUACAGGACUCACAUGAGGCCCUGUAAUUGGAAUGAGUACAUUCUAAAACUCUUAACGAGUAUCCAUUGGAGGGCAAGUCUGGUGCCAGCAGCCGCGGUAAUUCCAGCUCCAACAGUGUAUGCUAAAGUUGUUGCGGUUGAAAAGCUCGUAGUUGGAUUUUGGGCGAGCGCGGCCGGUCCGUCGCAGGGCGUGUCACUGGUCGCGUUCGCCUCAAGACUUCGGUUCUCUGUCGGUGCUCUUGACUGAGUGUCGGCGGUGGCCGAUAAGUUUACUUUGAAAAAAUUAGAGUGUUCAAAGCAGGCUGCUCGCCUGAAUAGUGUUGCAUGGAAUAAUGGAAUAGGACCUCGGUUCUAUUUUGUUGGUUUUCGGAGUGCGAGGUAAUGAUUAAGAGGGACAGACGGGGGCGUCCGUACUCUGCCGUUAGAGGUGAAAUUCUUAGAUCGGCGGAAGACGAACUACUGCGAAAGCAUUCGCCAAGAAUGUUUUCUUUAAUCAAGAGCGAAAGUCAGAGGUUCGAAGACGAUCAGAUACCGUCCUAGUUCUGACUAUAAACGAUGCCAACUAGCGAUCGGGAGGCGUUACCAUGACGACCUUCCCGGCAGCUUCCGGGAAACCAAAGUCUUUGGGUUCCGGGGGAAGUAUGGUUGCAAAGCUGAAACUUAAAGGAAUUGACGGAAGGGCACCACCAGGAGUGGAGCCUGCGGCUUAAUUUGACUCAACACGGGGAAACUCACCCGGCCCGGACACAGGUAGGAU
rnacentral:rRNA from 1 species